rnacentral:rRNA from 1 species
CUACGGGUUGCAGCAGUGAGGAAUAUUGCACAAUGGGGGGAACCCUGAUGCAGCAACGCCGCGUGGAGGAUGACGCAUUUCGGUGUGUAAACUCCUUUUAUAUGUCAAGAAAGUGACGGUAGCAUAUGAAUAAGCACCGCUAACUCCGUGCCAGCAGCCGCGGUAAUACGGAGGGUGCAAGCGUUACUCGGAAUCACUGGGCGUAAAGGACGCGUAGGCGGGUUGGAAAGUCAGGUGUGAAAUCCUACAGCUUAACUGUAGAACUGCACUUGAAACUUCUAAUCUAGAGUAUGGGAGGGGGAGAUGGAAUUAGUGGUGUAGGGGUAAAAUCCGUAGAUAUCACUAGGAAUACCUAAAGCGAAGGCGAUCUCCUGGAACAUUACUGACGCUAAGGCGUGAAAGCGUGGGGAGCAAACAGGAUUAGAUACCCGAGUAGUC